AUAUCCAUUGACCAUUGGUCAGCCGUAGAUCGUUAUCCAUCCAAAUUCAAACGACUGAUAGACCAGAUAAGUGGCAAUUCGUCCGUCUCCAGAAGAAACGAAAGCAAAGGACGAAGGAAGGAAGAUCAUGGCCUCGCCUUCUUUGCUGCUCCCACUCGGCUGUACAUUUGGCAAAGAGGGUUCUUAUUCUCGAAGAGACUGCAAAAUCCACGUUAGAGUUGGAUUAAAUUCUCUUGCAUCAAAAAAUAGAUUACAAGAAUUAAAGACGAUUGAGAGACAGGAUGCUUGUAAUUGCAUGAGCCGGAGGAAGCUGGUAGCCUCAGGACUUGGAUUUCUAAGUCUUCUUGGUAGCUCUAAUUCCAUUGAAGCAGCUGGAUUGCCCCCAGAGGAUAAGCCCAAGUUAUGUGAUGAUGCCUGUGAAAAGGAGCUUGAAAAUGUACCUAUGGUGACUACUGAUUCAGGUUUGCAAUACAAGGACAUCAAAGUUGGAGGAGGACCUAGCCCUCCUGUUGGAUUUCAGGUAGCUGCAAAUUAUGUUGCCAUGGUUCCUUCUGGUCAAAUAUUUGACAGUUCGCUGGAGAAAGGGCAGCUUUACAUAUUCAGAGUUGGUGCUGGUCAGGUGAUCAAAGGAUUAGAUGAAGGGAUCCUCAGCAUGAAAGCUGGAGGGAAGCGCCGGCUCUACAUUCCAGGACCGUUGGCAUUUCCUAAAGGUCUCACGUCGGCUCCUGGAAGGCCCCGGGUGGCGCCCAACAGCCCUGUGAUCUUCGACGUCAGCUUAGAGUACAUUCCGGGGAUGGAGGCCGAGGAAGAGUAAAAAGAUCAAUCAAUUACUUUUGAUCAUCCAUAUCCAAGCAACCAUCCUGCAUGGAUCACAUAGCUUUGGGCGUCCAAGCUGAGAUAGAUAGAGGUCGCGACGCCGAGCGCGUAGGCACCAAUCGCCACCACCACGACGUCCUUCCCGGGCUUCACCACGGCUGCUGCACCCGCAAUUCCGGCGGCGCCCAGCGGCAGCCUCUUUAAUAAGGCCAGCCGCGCCGCCGAGACGACGGCGUCGGAGAACACCUCCAGCGCGAACUCCUGAAACUCCGUCUGGUCGAGCACAAUUCCGUCCUCGUCCUCGUCGGUCCGGGGCGGGCGGCGAGAGAGGACCGCCGCCUUGAGAGCCCGGUCGACGUGGACCCGGUCGGGGGGGUGCGGGAGCCAGUUGGAGAUGAGGCGGAGGGAUUGGGAGAGGCGGCUGUGGAGGCGGGCGGUAGCGGAGAAGAGCUGGUAGGGCUUGACCCCGGGGAAGGCGUGCUGGCUCAGAGAGAGGCAGUCGGCGUAGACGGCGGCGCAGGCGGAGGUGAACUCCGGCGCGGCGCCCAGGGAUUUCUGCACGCGCGUGGACGCCGAGAGCCCCAUUCUCGAUUUCAACUCCUUCCUUACCUUGGCUCUUUUUCUUUCUGUUUCUCCCCUCAAAAAAUAAAAUUAAAUUAGCAUUUUAUUAAUAAUAUAAAAUAAUUAAUUUUCUAAAAAUUAGAAUGGAGUGAUUUCUUUGAGUUGUUGGAGUUGAGAUUAUUCCAUUAUAUUAUUAUUAUUAUUAUUAUUAUUAUAUAUAUAUGCACUAUUCAUGGCCUCUGGUCGUCUUUUCAA